rnacentral:misc_RNA from 1 species
CGUUCACCAAUAGGGAUUUGGUGCAAGGAUUGAUGCAGUGGUGUUUUCUCUCGCUGUUUCCCGAAUGCAGCAGCCGCCACAUUACUUUGUGGCUAUCAGCCUGCUCUUGCUGCCUCUGACCUGAAGGAUUUUUGGGCAUGCCAUCUAAUUCAAAAGUCUGGUAUGCCACUUGACCUUGAUGAGUACUCUGUUACCAGCUUUAGGAACAUGGAUGAUUUAUCCUCUAACAACCG